rnacentral:lncRNA from 1 species
CUUUAUUGCUCACACAAAGCCUGUUUGGUGGUCUCUUCACAGGGACGCGAGUGAAAGUAUCCUCACAUGGCAGAAAGAGAAAUAAAGAGGGCUCAUGAGUGCCCUGCCCUCACGGCUUCAUCUAAACAUAAUUACCUCCAAGGACUCUGCCUUCAAAUACCAUCACAUUGGAGGUUGCAUGUAGAGAUGAACCCCCAGUGGAUUCCUGUGAUGUCCUUUGCAGCAGUGUCAACAGUGAAGUCCCAGAUGACACGACUGGCAAGGAUCUGAGGUUACUACGGUAUCCGGUGGUUAGUGGUCAUUUUGGAGGUUAUGUACAGACUACUAAUAACUUGCUCUCACUAUUGGAGCUGGAGAAGAACUUAAGAAAAAAAUAAAUGCAAAUUAUACCAUAUACUCUUAAAGAACUUCACAAACAGAUGGUUUAUCUUCCCAACACCCAGAAAAAGUAGGCCACAUGUUGUGUGAAUUACAGCCAUCACCAUCUCCUGUGAGCUUGUUAGAAAUGGAGAACAUUGGGCCCCACCACGGUUACACUGAACUAGGAUUUGCACUCUAACAAGACCACCAGUUUCAGAGGAGAUUGCGAGGAUGAAGCCCACAUGGUGGAAUUAAUGCCCUUGUAAGAAGACGAGGAGACACCAGAGUUUCCUCUCUUUCCUCCAUGUGAUGACACAGUAAGAAGGUGGCCAACUACAAGCCAAGAAACAGGCCCUCAUCAGGAACCUAAUCUGCUGUCACCUUGAGGCUUCGCACCUCCAGAGCUGUGAGAAAUAAAUGUUUGUUG